UCCUUUGUUGCCAGCGAUUAGGUCGGGAACUCAAAGGAGACUGCCAGUGAUAAACUGGAGGAAGGUGGGGAUGACGUCAAGUCAUCAUGGCCCUUACGACCAGGGCUACACACGUGCUACAAUGGCGCAUACAAAGAGAAGCGACCUCGCGAGAGCAAGCGGACCUCAUAAAGUGCGUCGUAGUCCGGAUUGGAGUCUGCAACUCGACUCCAUGAAGUCGGAAUCGCUAGUAAUCGUGGAUCAGAAUGCCACGGUGAAUACGUUCCCGGGCCUUGUACACACCGCCCGUCACACCAUGGGAGUGGGUUGCAAAAGAAGUAGGUAGCUUAACCUUCGGGAGGGCGCUUACCACUUUGUGAUUCAUGACUGGGGUGAAGUCGUAACAAGGUAACCGUAGGGGAACCUGCGGUUGGAUCACCUCCUUACCUUAAAGAA
rnacentral:rRNA from 1 species